UUUCCUUCUCCUAUGCAUGAAAGUGAAAAGUGAAAGUGAAGUUGCUGAGUCGUAUCUGACUCCCAGCGACCCCAUGGACUGCAGCCCACCAGGCUCCUCUGUCCAUGGGAUUCUCCAGUACUCUUGCGUGUGAAAUCCCAUGGACGGAAGAGCCUGGUAGGGUCUUUUUGGGAUACAAUGAAAACACUGCUUAAGGGGGAGUUUAUAGCUAAAUAAUAUGAAAAGAUUGGAAAACUUCACUAAAGAGGCUAAGUCAUGGGGUCUCAAAGAGUCUGACAUGACUGAGCGACUUCACUUUCACUUUUCACUUUCGUGUAUUGGAGAAGGAAAUGGCAACCCACUCCAGUAUUCUUGCUUGGAGAAUCCCAGGGAUGGCAGAGCCUGGUGGGCUGCUGUCUAUGGGAUCGCACAGAGUCAGACACGACUGAUGCAACUUAGCAGCAGCAGCAGCUGAACAACAUCUAAAUGCGGACUUCUUUAAGCUUGGGCACAUUACACCUACUUAUCAAUAAUAAAGGUUUAUCAAAGGAAGGAGUACAUGAAUGAUGUUUAUAACCAACAAUACACUGUGAGGUACUGAAGUCUCCCUGGGAGAAAUAUCAAUAACCUCAGAUAUGCAGAUGGCACCACCCUUAUGGCAGAAAGUGAAGAAGAACUAAAGAGCCUCUUGAUGAAAGUGAAAGAGGAGAGUGAAAAAGUUGGCUUAAAGCUGAACAUUCGGAAAACUAAGAUCAUGGUAUCCGGUCCCAUCACUUCAUGGCAAAUAGAUGGGGAAACAGUAAACAGUGGCUGACUUUAUUUUGGCGGGCUCCAAAAUCACUGCAGAUGGUGAUUGCAGCCAUGAAAUUAAAAGACGCUUACCUCUUGGAAGGAAAGUUAUGACCAACCUAGACUACAUAUUAAAAAGCAGAGACAUUACUUUGUCAACAAAGGUCCAUUUAGUCAAGGCUAUGGUUUUUCCUGUGGUCAUGUAUGGAUGUGAGAGUCGGAUUAUAAAGAAAGCUGAGUGCAGAAGAAUUGAUGCUUUUGAACUGUGGUGUUGGAGAAGACUCUUGAGAGUCCCUUGGACUGCAAGGAGAUCCAACCAGUCCAUCCUAAAGGAGAUCAGUCCUGAGUGUUCAUUGGAAGGACUGAUGAAGCUGAAACUCCAGUACUUUGGCCACCUGAUGUGAAGAGCUGACUCAUUUGAAAAGACCCUGAUGCUGGGAAAGAUUGAAGGCAGGAGGAGAAGGGGAUGGCAAAGGAUGAGAUGGUUGGAUGGCAUCACUGACUCAAUGGACAUGAGUUUGGGUAAACUCCAGGAGUUGGUGAUGGACAGGGAGGCCUAGCGUGCUGCAGUUCAUGGGGUUGCAAAGAGUUGGACACGACUGAGCAACGGAACUGAGCUGAAAGUCUCCCUAUUAUUACAGAAAUGUUUGUUUCCCCCUUCAGUUGUGUUUUUAAAGGCUACUUACCUCCCAGGAUAUUUAUGACUUUCUUAAUUCCCUUAACAUAUGGGAUUGCUUUAGAAUGCCCUACUUCUUAAAUGUCUGGCUCCCAAAAAUGAAAGAAAAAUUAAGAGAGAAAAAGAAGUGC
ensembl:lncRNA